rnacentral:lncRNA from 1 species
GUAUCGAGAUAUAAACCAGCUCCAGUCGAACUGUUACUGUUCGAGAAACUAACGGCAGCUGAAUUAUCACAGUAAAGCUUCAAUGGUCUAGAAAUGGAAUUAACGAUUUUGAGUCCAGUGACCAGGUUUCUAAUCAACAUUCCAUGACAGGUUGCGUUAUAGACAGCAAUGUAUUCCGCCAUCAUUGUGGAAGUUGUGGUCAACUGUUGUUUAUGACUCUUCCAAGAGAUAGGGCCGCCUGCUAACAUAAAGAUAUAGCCCGAAGUGGAUUUCUUGUCAUCUUUGCAUUUGGCAAAGUCAGAAUCAGAAUAGCCCACCACUUCUAAAUGAUCACUUCUUCUAUAAGUCAGCUUAUAGUCUUUCGUCCCUUGCAGAUAUCGAAGUACCUUCUUAGCUGCUUUCCAGUGAUCUAAGCCAGGAUUAGUCUGAUAACGGCCUAGCAUUCCAGCAAUAUAAGCGAUAUCUGGACGAGUACAGACUUGAGCAUACAUCAAGCUCCCGACUACUGACGCGUAAGGUAUCUGGCUCAUUUGCUCCUUCUCAACCUCUGUUGUCGGACACUGGAAUGAACCGAAAACAUCUCCCUUAACUACUGGAGCGACGGAGGGUUUGCACUGUUGCAUGUUAUAUCGUGUAAGGACACGAUCUAUGUAGGCCCUUUGGGACAAUCCUAAGAUCCCUUUGUUUCUAUCUCGGUGAAUUUCGAUGCCAAUGACGUAAGAUGCAUCUCCGAGAUCCUUCAUGUCGAAGUUAUGCGAGAGUAAACGCUUCGACUCAUGCAACAUGUCUAAACUAUUACUUGCCAAUAGAAUGUCAUCUACGUAAAGGACAAGUAUAGUAAAGUCGCUCCCACUCAUCUUGAGGUAGGUGCAUUGAUCCACUUGAUUCUUCAUAAAACCUUGCUUCUUCAUGACUUCAUCAAACUUGAGGUACCACUGACGUGAUGCUUGUUUUAACCCGUAAAUGGAUUUCUUCAGCUUACAGACUAGAUGUUCCUGACCUUCAGGCUCAAAGCCUUCAGGUUGCUUCAUGUAAACAUCUUCGUCCAAGUCUCCGUUAAGGAAAGCGGUUUUAACGUCCAUCUGAUGCAGCUCUAAGUCGAAAUGAGCUACUAAGGCCAUGACGAUCCUUAAUGAAUCUUUACGAGAGACAGGUGAAAACGUCUCUUGAUAAUCAAUUCCCUCUUUCUGAGUGUAGCCCUUUGCAACCAAUCUCGCUUUGUAGCGUUCAACGUUCCCAUUCGGAUCCAGUUUUGUUUUGAACACCCAUUUGCAUCCUACGGGUUUGACUCCGUUGGGUAAUUCUACCAAAUCCCAAACGUCAUUUUUCUUCAUGGAUUCAAGCUCAUCAAUCAUUGCUUUAUUCCAUUCAGAAGACUGAUCACUGCUAAUGGCUUCAUUGUAAGAGAUAGGAUCAUUGAGCUUUCCGGGAUCCAUUUCAGUCAGGUAGGUAACAUAAUCAUCCCAGUUAGGAGGCCUUCUUUGCCUGGAUGACCUCCUGAGUGGAUUAUCGGGUUCAGCGUUGUCUUGGUUUUGAGCGUUUGAUGUGCCUUCGUUAUGAGGAAACCCAAUUAGUUAAUAAGGGUAAUAUGGUCCAUCAACAAUUACCAACUAAUUAUUAAUAGGUUAUUAAUAUAUUUUGAUCUAAUAUAAUAUAAAUGAUUAUAUAGGCUACAAGAUUAAAUAUUAUAUAUUACUAAUAUAUUUAAUCUCACAUUCUUCCACUUAGCCAAGUAAUCAUUUAUCAUGAGUAUUAGGUAAGCCUGGCCAGGAGUUAACACUCAUUUUAGCUUUAAACCAAGAACUAUAGCAGAGAAAUACAGCCGUUGAAUCAUCAUUCGACUCAGGACCCCCAUUAAUCAUACUAUAGCCUCAAUUUAAAACCUAAUAGUUACGAUCAAAAUAUGUAUAAGCCCUUUAGCGUCUGAUUUGUAUUUAUAUUUGUCUAUAUGUCAUUACACCGGCAGAACAUAUGUUAGAGACAUACAAAAUCAAACUGAGGAAAUUUUAUUAAUUAAAACAUAAGCUAGUACAAUAUGCCAUUAAAUAAGGUCUUUAGUAAGUCCCAUAUUCGUUACAUGUUCUUCGUAAACUUUAGGUGGGAGACCUUUAGUCAUCGGAUCCGCUAGCAUAUCUUUAGUACUAAUAUACUCAAUACAAAGAUUAUUUUCCUCAACUCGUUCACGUACGAACAAGUAUUUUGUAUCGAGAUAUAAACCAGCUCCAGUCGAACUGUUACUGU